UCCUCAUUGUGCAUGCUGUGUGU
rnacentral:miRNA from 3 species